GCGGGGGGUCCCUGGGGCAGACGCCCUGCUAUCCUCAUCUUAGGAUACCCAGUUCCCAACACAGUGCCUGCUGCAAAUUAUCAGUAAUAACAGGCCAUUAACUCCCCUGCUGGUCCCUAUCCAUGGAGCCCAUUGACAGAUGAGUUUGAUUCUGGACCUAAGAAGGACAGUUAACAGACACAGAUAUCUUUUAAGACCCUGAACUCUCCUCUCUACACCAUCGCAUGUCAGUGGAACUAUAAGCCUCAAGACCUGAGUUCAAGUUCGUCCUCUGCCACUUACUAAUGUGAUCUUGGCAAGUCACGUAUUCUCUCUGGGGCUCAUUCUCUGCAUCUGUAAAAUGGGGAUUAAAAACUCUGUGUCCCGCCUGAUUAAUUCUCUAUGACUUGGGAGUCUUCUGGCCAACCUCACUCUGAAAACGUCACCAGACCAAAGAUACAUGGAGCAGUUGGCCUCCUUUAUAGGACGCUGUCCCGC
rnacentral:lncRNA from 1 species